GGUGAUGUAGCUCAUGGUACAGCACCUGCCUAAUAUGCACAAGGCCCUGGGUUCCAUCCCCAGCACCACAA
rnacentral:tRNA from 1 species